GAUGAACGCUGGCGGCGUGCCUAAUACAUGCAAGUCGAGCGAACAGAUGAGGAGCUUGCUCCUCUGACGUUAGCGGCGGACGGGUGAGUAACACGUGGAUAACCUACCUAUAAGACUGGGAUAACUUCGGGAAACCGGAGCUAAUACCGGAUAAUAUAUUGAACCGCAUGGUUCAAUAGUGAAAGACGGUUUUGCUGUCACUUAUAGAUGGAUCCGCGCCGCAUUAGCUAGUUGGUAAGGUAACGGCUUACCAAGGCAACGAUGGGUAGCCGACCCGAGAGGGUGAUCGGCCACACUGGAACUGAGACACGGUCCAGACUCCUACGUGAGGCAGCAGUAGGGAAUCUUCCGCAAUGGGCGAAAGCCUGACGGAGCAACGCCGCGUGAGUGAUGAAGGUCUUCGGAUCGUAAAACUCUGUUAUUAGGGAAGAACAAAUGUGUAAGUAACUAUGCACGUCUUGACGGUACCUAAUCAGAAAGCCACGGCUAACUACGUG
rnacentral:rRNA from 1 species